rnacentral:rRNA from 1 species
UACAGAGGGUGCGAGCGUUAAUCGGAAUUACUGGGCGUAAAGCGCGCGUAGGCGGCUUUGCAAGUCGGGUGUGAAAUCCCCAGGCUUAACCUGGGAACUGCAUCCGAUACUGGUCGGCUUGAAUCCGGGAGAGGGAUGCAGAAUUCCAGGUGUAGCGGUGAAAUGCGUAGAUAUCUGGAGGAAUACCGGUGGCGAAGGCGGCAUCCUGGACCGGCAUUGACGCUGAACAGCGAAAGCUAGGGGAGCAAACGGG